CCGCUGAACUUAAGCAUAUCAUUAAGCGGAGGAAAAGAAACUAACAAGGAUUCCCCUAGUACGGGCGACGGAAGCGGGAAAAGCCCACGCUGGUAAUCUGCGGGCGUUAGCUCGUCGAAUUGUAAUCUGAAGAUGGUUGGUCUAACGGAGUCGGGCGACGAAGUGUGCACGAGCGCGCCGCCAAAGAGGGUGAGAGCCCCGUAAGUUGCCAGACUCUACAAAGGCCGGUCGUCGAAGAGUCGUGUACUUUGAUACUAGUGCACCAAGCGGGAGAUAAACUUCUUCUAAGGCUAAAUAUAAGUAGGAAACCGAUAGCGAACAAGUACUGUGAAGGAAAGAUGAAAAGCACUUUGGAAAGAAAGUUAAAAGACUUGAAAUCGUUGAGGCGGACCCGGUAGAAAUGUAUUCUAGCGAAACUCCCUGGGAAGCCUGUACGCGGGUGUCUUGGGAGUUAGCCGAGGCAAGAUGGAGUCGCGCGAUGCUAGAGGCCGUGCAGGAGGUUCUUCGGAAAAGCCUGUGCAGGUUGAGUGUCGGGCGGCUUGAGGGGCUUAGAGCGAUCUUGUCAAAAUGGUUUUUACCGACUCGUCUUGAAACACGAACCAAGGAGUCUAAGACUAACGCGAGUAUGGUGGUGGAGAAACCAACAUGCGAAAUGAAAGUAAAUGAUGCCAAGACAACUGCAGCAUCGACCGACUUUUUUCUCUUGGAAGAGGUUUGAGUAAGAGCGUUAUUCUUAGGA
rnacentral:rRNA from 1 species